GUACAUUCACCUUCUAAUUCCAGCUUUCUUCCCUUCGACCAUCCGCCCCCCAAUUUCUCCACCCCCAGCCCCUGGUGUCCAUCACUUUAUUCUGUUUCUACAAGUUCGGCUCUUUUAGAUUCUUAACUGACAUUUAAUGACAUGAUGCUCAAUAUUCUUGGUUAACUUUGUCCAGAGUUGAUCUUUGGCUGGUUAUAUUCCAGGGUGGUUAUACAGGUUGUUAAAAUAUGGUAAGACCUCUAUGAUGGUUCGUAACAGACUAUUGCUCUGAAUCCCUAAGUAAACCGCCCCUACCAUCAUCCCAGCUGUACUGGCCCCUACUCUGGGGCUACCUCAGACUCCUCGUGCUCUAACUUACAAGGCUCACAUAUAAGGUCAGUAAAGAGCAUCCCUAACCCUGCUCUAACUUAUUAAUAAGUUAUUAAUAAUAUUACUAAGGGGCCUCCUUAACCCUACGCUUGUCCUCUGGCUGGUGUUUGUUCUUCCUGGUUGAUGCCCGUAUCCCUCAGGUUGGUAGAUAUUUUGAACAUCAGUUAUGACCUCCGUGGGUCAUCUAAACACCUGCUCACCAGCCUGUGUGGCUAAUAAAAUGGUACCAACAUGUGUACCCAGCUCAAAAGCCUCUACACGCAAAGUGACUGGAUUUCAACACUAUCCACUUAGAUUUCUCUUCCCACAGUAGUACUCUGUGAGUACGUGAACCAGGCUUCUGGUACCACCGCUCAUGUCACUGCCCUUGCUCUUGCCACAGCUUUGUGAACGUGCAAUCGCUGCCAUUGUGGUCCAUGCCCGUUUCCACCCACCUCCCUCCACCAGCUGGUACAGGCCAGUCGCAUGGGCUGCCACUCCCAAGCCCUCCAGCCACAAUCUUGUGCAUCCUGGGAUGCUGCCCACUGGGCUCGUGCAUCCCUUCUUCAGCCAUGGAACUUUCUCCACGUGGUACAGGUGGUCCUUCUAUCUUGGCUGCAGAGUUCACUUGCGCUACCACCCUACCUACUGCUGCUCCUGCUCAGGUGCUAGCUGACUGUCCAUCCUGUGCCAGGUCUCCAGCUCUUGCCUCUCACUCCCUGGAAGGGAAAUGACUCCUUCCCCUUUUCUAGAGGUUAACGGCAGCAGGGCUGCUUGGACCUCUGAGGUUUGAGAGAUUCACAUUCAUAUACAAACUUUAACUUGGGGGGAAUAUACAUGUGUCCAGGAGGCUGAAAUGACCCGAUCAAUAGGCUCGUGACGUAGCAGAACUGGUCCUAUUCUUCACGCAGCCCCAUGCUGGUAAAUCUACCUCAUCUUCCAAGUGGAUUUUUUUCUUCCCUCGGAGUAGAUUUCUUUCUGGGGGUGGGUCCCGUGCUCCUCCAAUGUUUGGUCUCCCUCAGGCUCUUUCUCCUAAUGUUUCAGAUGUCUACUUCUCCCCGAAUCCCCAACCCUGAGAAAGGAGGUCUUUUUCUGUGGAGAAGGUCCCCAUUCCCGCAUGCAUUAGUCUGUGAACAUGAACAUGGGGAGGGGGGUGGAAUUCACCCGCCUCCCACAGGCCAUUCUACUUAGAUGCAGCUGGCACCUCCUCAUGGUCCUUUCAAACCUAACUGUAACUUUAUGCAGGGCGUAGAGGCUGCUUCCCCCUGUCCUCUUUCUAUGCCCUAAUAUCAUCCAACACUGGACCAGGCACCUUGUAGACACUUGCUGUAACGUCCUUGAAUGAAUGAUGAAUGGAUGCGUUUCUCUGGCAGGCAUCAUGGCUGCAGCUUACAGUAGGGGCUUCAGGGAUCUCUUGAGCCUCUUGAAAUUAUAGAAAAUGAUUCUAUAUAUGUGAGAAUUUUUUGAAAAGGAAAGCUUAUAGCUCCAGCUCUGCCCCCGCCCCCCCCCACCGCCCAAGAUUUUCAAACAAGUCUAUCCUCGUCUCCCGUUAAAGCGUCCUUAAAAGUUGAUCCUGCAGCUCUAGCAGGGUUGUCUUGCUCGGAGAAGUCUCCGUGAUAUUUAGCAUCUCAGUGUCUGAUGGAGGCUGAGACUGUGGAAGCGGCUACCGAGGCAGGAAUUUCUCCGGUGUCGCUCUUUCUUAGGAGGGGUGGAAUGCUCUGCUUUCUUACGUGUCAGGUACGGUACUGUCCUGCGUUGGCUUUCGUGAUGUGAAAUCCUCUUUGUGACUGCUGUCUUUUAUCAGUUUGCCAUCGCAGGCUCAUAUCCUGGCUCAUCUGUGUCCCUGUGAUCAGUGUCCCCAUGCUUCUUGCAAAUCGGUUGUCUGUGCUCGCUGUUUAGAUCAUCUACUUUUGCCAUCAGCGGAAGGCUCCCCAAACACAUGCCUGAGCCCUUCAGAAUUAUGUUCAGAGGGGGCACGGAACAAAGAAAAGGUUGACCCCAUCCUCACUUGCUGGAGGCAGGAGAUGUGAUUCAAUGUGUCAGAGAACUUCCUAAACGACAAGACAGCAAUUUUUUAAAGUUAACUUAAAAAAGAAAAGAAAAGAAAGAAAGCUCAUGUCCUUGGCUGAUGAGCGUGGAGAAGACCUUGGGAUGGUUUUCAGAGAGACGGAAGCCUUAGCACAGGCCUGCUGCUGCACGCGUGAGUUUGGGGCUUCACCGGACAACUGUGGGACCCCCGCCCCUCCCCCACCUCCGCUGCCCCCCCUGCCCCCCCUGCCUGGCCGCAUCCUCAGAGGUUUCCCAUGUCACCGUCUCCUCCAUGCAGCUGUGGGUCUGUCCUUCCUAAAACAGCAUAAUCAUGUAAUGUGUUUGCUUUAAAACCUCCAGAAGGUCUCGUUUUCCAGCAGUGAUGCCGUCCUAGUUCCUUGUUACCCUAGUGACAGUCCAGCUCCAACUCCGCUGUCCAGACCCACCCCCUGUCACUUGUCCCUGCAGGUUCUCUUUUGGCCACAAGAAACCACCUGUUUUCCUGUGCUCGUGCUCCUCCUUUUCUUACCUGUGCUCCUGCUGGUCCCUCCAACCAGAACCCUGUCUCCUCCACCUCUUCUCUGGAAGGUGGAUUCCCACGACCCACUUCCAACGUCUCCUCCCUUGAAGAGGUCUCCUCUCGAACCCGCCCUCUGCCUUUCCCCAUUCAGCCAGCUUUCAUUGCUUCCUCUGUUAUUCUCUCAAAGCAUUUUUUGAAAGUCUGUUGCAGAGUUCCCAAAAUGGCUCAGCAGUAGCAAACCCAAAUAGUACCCAAAGGACGUGGGGUUCGAUCCCUGGUCUCGCUCAGUGGGUUAAGGAUCUCGUGUUACCUUGAGCUGUGGUGUAGGUCACAGAUGAGGCUCAGAUCCAUCGUUGCUGUGGUUGUGGUGUAGGCUGGCAGCUGUAGCCUGGGAAUUUCCAUUUGCCUUGGGUAUGGCCCUAAAAUGCAAAUAAAUAAAAAAAUAUAAAAAGCCUGUCUCUAAUUAAAAGAAAAAAAAAAA
rnacentral:lncRNA from 1 species